UCCGAUAUGGUGUAGUGGCCAACAUGAUGCCCUCUCAUCUUCGAGAGGCAGGCAUAGCCCCGAGUUCGAUUCUCGGUUUCGGAA
rfam:Colletotrichum gloeosporioides Cg-14 contig05113, whole genome shotgun sequence.